rnacentral:ncRNA from 1 species
GGGGCACAUCGCGACUGGCGCGCGUGGAAGAGACCACGAGGGAGCGGUGUGCGGCAACCGCCACGAGGUGCCGCCCGCCUGGGCACCCCUG